rnacentral:rRNA from 1 species
UAGAUAAGUUGGAAGUGAAAUCCUAUGGCUUAACCAUAGAACUGCUUCCAAAACUGUCUAUCUAGAAUAUGGGAGAGGUAGAUGGAAUUUCUGGUGUAGGGGUAAAAUCCGUAGAGAUCAGAAGGAAUACCGAUUGCGAAGGCGAUCUACUGGAACAUUAUUGACGCUCAGAUGCGAAAGCGUGGGGAGCAAACAGGAUUAGAUACCCUGGUAGUCCACGCCCUAAACGAUGCACACUAGUUGUUGCCUUGCUAGACAAGGCAGUAAUGCAGUUAACACAGUAAGUGUGCCGCCUGGGGAGUACGGUCGCAAGAUUAAAACUCAAAGGAAUAGACGGGGACCCGCACAAGCGGUGGAGCAUGUGGUUUAAUUCGACGAUACGCGAAGAACCUUACCUGGCCUUGACAUAGAGAGAACUUACUAGAGAUAGUUUGGUGCUAGCUUGCUAGAACUUUCAUACAGGUGCUGCACGGCUGUCGUCAGCUCGUGUCGUGAGAUGUUGGGUUAAGUCCCGCAACGAGCGCAACCCUCGUGUUUAGUUAAUAACGGUUCGGCCGAUGACUCUAAACAGACUGCCUGGGCAACCAGGAGGAAGGUGAGGACGACGUCAAGUCAUCAUGGCCCUUACGGCCAGGGCUACACACGUGCUACAAUGGGGUAUACAAAGAGCCGCAAUAC